CGGCAAUCGGCUUACAGUUGUAUAGGUUGCCUGUGUCUUCCGCAUUUUUCAUACGAUUUGUGAUUAUACGACGACAGAAUACAUAGGAAUGUUCAAGUAGUGUUGUAAAUAUUGUUAUCUAAUUUAAACAUUCUAGUGAUUUUGAGUCUUUGCGAAGGCUUUAAAGUUAAUAUUGAUUUUUGAUUAAGAUUGGAGGCAAGUGCUAGCACGGGAAGUAUCACUAAGUGUCUUAAUCUGUGAAUCUAUGAAAUACAUAGGUACACGUACCUAUGUACUUGUACUUGAUAAAACUUAACAAUAAUUUAUAACAACUGUAACAUCAAACAAAUUCAAUAUUUAUAUGGAAUUCAAAUAUUUCAUCAAUUAUAGAACGGCAAAACAAAAAGAUAUUUGAUGUGUAUUGACAAAAACAAUACCCUAUAUGUAUUGUUAAUUAUAUUAUCUUAAUAUAAUAGUAAUUUCCCAUCACUUACAGUAAUAAUAAACCACACGGUAAUAGUAAACCAAAUUAGGUAUAAAAAUAUGUAAACCUACAAACUAGUGAUGUGUAAUCUUUUAUACAAUAAAAUUUUACAUUAUUAUUAUUAUCUUUUCAUGACUUUAGUUAAAACUAUAAUCCAUAUAAUCAAAGAACCUGAAUAUAUGUAUGUGAAUUAUUCAGAUAAAACUUCCCUUUACACAAUGUAUUUUGGCACUAUGACAACACUUACCUAUUUAGUAAAAAGAAAAAUAUGUCAAUAAAAUCCAUUAAAGUUCUUGUGAAUUAAUAAAUGUCCAAAACCCAAAACUAA